UAAACUUGCUACAUUUGAUUAAAC
rnacentral:piRNA from 1 species